GGCUCUCUAUAUAUUGGGCUGCUACUACAACUUAGUUAAUUCAUAGCUAGCUACAUUCAUAUCUCUCUUCGAAAUAAAAUUAAAGCUACUGCAACAUGAGGACUGUAAUUGAUGGUGAUCAGAACCAGCUACCAGCUGCAGACUCACAUGUAGCUCCGGCACCUGUUGGUUAUCCCACAAAAGAUGGCGAUGCAGCUCCCGCGGCAUCUGGUCCAGUAGAAACUCAAUCCAGAGAUGGUCUUAGUGAUUGUGCAAAGGUUGUUAAAUGCUUGUUCGAGUGCUUGCAAGCCUGUCUUAAUUAAGUAAUUUAUGAGACGUAUUUAUAUAUUUCCGAACUCUCUCUAUGUGAAAUUUCAUUCUCAUUUGUGUUCAGUCUGUACUGUGGCGCAUUACUGAGAGAGCCAAGUACUUGUACUCUGGUUUCAUAUUCGUGUACUCUUUUAUGAACUCUGUUAUGUGUUUGAAAGAAUGUAAUAUUAAGAAAUGGCUGCAGCACAAUUAGACAGCUCAAAUUGCGAGUUUAUCUUC